GAUGAACGCUGACAGAAUGCUUAACACAUGCAAGUCAACUUGAAUUUGGGUUUUUAACUUAGGUUUGGGUGGCGGACGGGUGAGUAACGCGUAAAGAACUUGCCUCACAGCUAGGGACAACAUUUGGAAACGAAUGCUAAUACCUAAUAUUAUGAUAAUAGGGCAUCCUAUAAUUAUGAAAGCUAUAAGCGCUGUGAGAGAGCUUUGCGUCCCAUUAGCUAGUUGGAGAGGUAACGGCUCACCAAGGCGAUGAUGGGUAGCCGGCCUGAGAGGGUGAUCGGCCACAAGGGGACUGAGACACGGCCCUUACUCCUACGGGAGGCAGCAGUGGGGAAUAUUGGACAAUGGACCGAGAGUCUGAUCCAGCAAUUCUGUGUGCACGAUGAAGUUUUUCGGAAUGUAAAGUGCUUUCAGUUGGGAAGAAACAAAUGAUGGUACCAACAGAAGAAGUGACGGCUAAAUACGUG
rnacentral:rRNA from 1 species